rnacentral:lncRNA from 1 species
UAGAAAUUUGGAAGCAAUCCUUUGUCGUGUCUCUCAUAGACAACUUGGUAUUCAUGACUUCAUGUUGUGAUAAAUAACCAGUUCACCCAACAACAGGGAUGGUGCUUAUUUUUUCAGAGGACCUUAUUGCCUGAGAACACAGCAAGCUGGGGAUGUUCCCACCUGUAAGGGCUACAAAACAGCAGCCAAGCACCCUCCCAUCAUCCCUCUCCCCGUCAUUCAGCACUCAUCACUGAACAAAACAGAAUGAUUCCAGUUUACAAGUCUGCUGUGGAGGUUCAGGAUGUAAAGUGGAGAGGCCAGGUGCCUGUGGGGAGGGAGCUGCCUAGGCAAUGACUGGGCCAGAGCACAAGCAUAGGGACUCACAGUCAUGUCUGUCUGCUCGACAUAGCACUGCAGUACUAAAGACAGGAGAGACAAUUCCUCCACGAGAAACAGAAGAUGGCCAGGGACUUACAGUCAUGUUUGUCUGCUGAAAACAGCUCUGCACUUCUAAAAAGAGGAAGAGACAAUUCCUCCACGAGAAAGGGAAGACGGCCAUGGACUCACAGUCAUGUCUGUCUGCUUAACACAGAACUGCACUUUUAAACACAGGUAGGGAAAAUUCCUCCACGAGAAACAGAAGAUGUCCAGGGACUCACAGUCAUGUUCGUAUGCUCAGCACAGCACUGUACUUCCAAAGACAGGAAGGGACGAUUCAUCCGUGAGAAAGAGAAGAUGACCCGUCAAGAUUUGAAAAACUGUUCAGUCUACAAGGAGAGAAGAGUAAACUUGGUCAUAUACCAUUUCCGAUUUAUAAAAUUAGAAAACAAAACAAUAACAAGAAAAAUAGAAAACGGACACACACAAAAAACUGCUCUGCUGGAGUUCACGAGGAGAGAGGUCAUUCUGCAACCCCUUCCACACUGCGGAUGGACAAUAGUACUCUGAAGAAAAUAACAGUGGAUAGUGACUCAAAAAGGACCUGAGGUGGGAUGUUCUCAGAAUGUUGAGGGAAAUGAUCCCAGGAACAGAAGUGCUUAAGUUGAGACCUGAGAAUAAAGGAGAAGCUGCAGGCUGUGGUGGCUCACAUCUGUAAUCCAAGAACUUUGGGAGACCAAGGUGGGUGGAUGGCUUGGGAUCUGGAGUUUGAGACCAGAUUGGGCAAUAUGACAAAACCCCAUCUCUACAAAAAAAAAAAAAGAAAGAAAAAAAGAAAAAUCAGCCGUGCCUGAUAGUGCACACCUAUAGUCCCAGCUACUCGGGAGGUUGAGGUGGGAGGAUGACCUGAGUCCAGGAGGUGGAGGUUGCAGUGAACUGAGAUCACACCACUGCACUCCAGCCUGGGCAACAGAGUGGGACCCUGUCUCAAGAAAUAAAAAUAAAAUUAAGAGAUGAGGAGAGGCCAUUCAUGAAAUAUUGGAAGAAAUAGGCUUAAAGCUUGAUAGCACAAUGAAAACAGUGGUGAUAUGGAAAUAAGUCUGGUUUUCCAAGAAGUCAACAGAAGUCCCUUGUGACUGUAAAACAGUGAGAAGGAAUAAAGGCAUAGGAGGAGAGAGGAAGAGGAGGUGAUGGUUUUAAAGAAAUUCUUGUCUUUGGGAGUACUCAGCUUGACAUUUUACUCAUAGAAAGAGCAGGUCCUUUCAUUCACAGGCAAAAUUCCUGCAGACUUUCAGAGAAAAAUAUAGUGCCUUUCUAUAUUUCACUCAAUAAAAGCUAUAAAUAGCAUCUAUAAAUCAUCACCAAUUUCCAAACCCAAGAAAUCUAAAAUGACCAGCUUCACUGGCUGAUCAUUUAACUUUUCACCUCUGGAGAAAGUGCUUCUGAUAUUGAUCCCGACAUUCAAACCUCAGGGCAGGAAGGAAGCUCCUCUGUCAAAACCCAAUAAAGCACAAUUACUGUGUAAAGGUGUGAUUUUCUAUUUGGAUAAAACACUCA